CAGCCACAUCACAUUGAAACACCUGUCCCCGAAUGAUCACAUAAGUUAAGCAGCGUCGACCUUGGUCAGUACCUAGAUGGGUAACCGCUUGGGAAUACCAAAUGCUGUAAG